CGGCUGCAGCAAGGAAUAUUGUGCAAUGGGCGAAAGCCUGACACAGCGACGCCGCGUGGGGGAAGACGGCCUUCGGGUUGUAAACCCCUUUUCUCGGAGAAGAAUAAUGACGGUAUCCGAGGAAUAAGUCUCGGCUAACUACGUGCCAGCAGCCGCGGUAAUACGUAGGAGGCAAGCGUUAUCCGGAUUUAUUGGGCGUAAAGAGGGCGUAGGCGGCCUUGUAAGUCGGAUGUAAAAUCUCCCGGCUCAACUGGGAGGGACCAUUCGAUACUGCUAGGCUCGAGUACAGCAGAGGGAGGUGGAAUUCCCGGUGUAGUGGUGAAAUGUGUAGAUAUCGGGAGGAACACCAGUGGCGAAGGCGGCCUCCUGGGCUGCAACUGACGCUGAGGCCCGUAAGCGUGGGGAGCAAACAGGAUUAGAUACCCGAGUAGUC
rnacentral:rRNA from 1 species